UACGUAGGGUGCAAGCGUUGUCCGGAAUUAUUGGGCGUAAAGAGCUCGUAGGCGGUUUGUCGCGUCUGCUGUGAAAACUCGGGGCUUAACUCCGGGCCUGCAGUGGGUACGGGCAGACUAGAGUGCGGUAGGGGAGACUGGAAUUCCUGGUGUAGCGGUGAAAUGCGCAGAUAUCAGGAAGAACACCCGUGGCGAAGGCGGUUCUCUGGGACGGUACUGACGCUGAGACACGAAAGCGUGGGGAGCGAACAGG
rnacentral:rRNA from 1 species